rnacentral:lncRNA from 1 species
ACGAAAGCUCGUAUUCAAGCAAAACCCCAACAAUUCCAAUAAUCAAACUACAAUACCUCAAAUUUCAAUCAUUAUUUAACAUUUCCAAACCCUUGAUAUUUAAUUUCCUAGCACUACAUUUCAGUUCUGCAAACUUUUUUUUUUUUUUUUUUUUUUUUUUUUUUUUUUUUUUUUUUGUAUAAAACUCUUCUAAUUUCCUUGUCCAUUUCGUUCAUACAAAUCUUUUACAAUUUCUCAACAUUCUUUUCAACUUUCAGUGAUUUAAAUUAGUAAGGAUGGUGAAGCCUUUACCAUAAAUUCAGUUCCAACAAUCUCUCUGAUUUAAAAAUUAAUAGUGCCUCAUCAUUCGCUUGAUACACUUCACUUAGCUAAACGUUUUCUCUAAUACGAAAAAUCUCUUGGACACCCAAUGAUUUAAAAUCUCAUGUACUAACUGACUAGAAGUAAUAUGGGAAAAGAAGUUACUUGGUCUCAGAACAUAGCGGGAGCUACAUUUAUGUAACUCAUGGAAAGAUUUGAACAAAGAGUAAAAGAAGAAAGGUCUGUUCCUAGUUUGAUUUUAAGUCAUGCAAAGGCCACAUUUACAUUGAAUGCUAACCAAACACUAAAACAGAAUCAGAUGGUCUCUUCAUCUUUUGUGCUUAACCGAUGUUUCUUCUAUUAUAAAUGACUUUGAGAAAUUUGCUAGGCAACAUAUGAGAAUCCUGAUUUAAGACAAUAAAGUCUAAUUCCUCCGUGGAAUGAAAGACAAUAAAGUCUCAUUCCUCCUUCACCUGGCAAACAACAAGGAUAAUUGCGAUUUUAGUAUAUGAAUUUUAUAAUUUUUUCUAUUUUGAGAUAAGAGCUGAAAAAGUUAACAAUUUGGUGAAUUAAUUAUUAAUUUUUUAAUAAUUCAGUGAAUUUUGCAUAUGUGUUUAACCGAAAAAUUCCGUAGGACGAUUUGUACCCCCUUAUUCGUUAGGUUUUUGAUUACUAGUCCAAAAAGGAAUCCACAUCCACGUGGAUUACACUUUCUAAUAACAGGAAAUGACAAAUCGACCCGUGCCCCUUUAGCCUCCCAUUUCACCCGAGGAUUGAACUCUCAAACACAAUCUCAAAUGAAAAAAAAAUCAAUUUUCACGGAAAUCUCUCAAAAUGGAGAACUCAUUAAAUCUCUCAAAAAAAAAAAUCUUUAUAAAAAAUAUUGGCUUUAUAAUACCUUCCGCUUAAAACCCACACCUUCUCCUUUCUCUCUCUGAUUUGUCUCUGUUAUCUUCAACGGCGAAAACCCAGAAGCCGAAGAAAACAAAGCUGUUAUCAGAUGCUAAUUCCGAACAACCUUCAAAAAUCCAAUUUCUUUAAACGCAAGAGUGAAACCUUCCGCAUCAACACUCGCUGCCGCCAGCAGCGGUCCUCCCAAAAAUACUCAAGCGAUUUUUCUUUGUUUUUCCAGCACCAUAGGAAUCGAACUCGAAAUGUUAAAGAGCUUAGCCGGCGGUGGUCUAGCGUUUCAGCUAGACGUUGUGACUCCUGCAAAACGGCACCCUGCAAAACGGCACCUACUGCUGCUGCGUUUUGCCGUGCUAACUGCGAUUCCAAGAUCCAUGGCGCCAAUAAGCUCGUUCCUAGACACGAGCGCGUUUGAAUGUGUGAGGUUUGUGAGCAAGCACCUGCUGCUGUCACUUGCAAAGUCGACGCUGCCGCUUUUUGUAUCACUUGUGAUGAUGAUAUUCACUCCGCUAACCCAGUUGCUCGCCGGCAUGAAUGUGUUCCGGUGCUGAUUCCAUUGUUAAAUCGUUGCCGUUCAAUUUUUUACUUGGUGACUCUGCCGCCGCAAACCACCACCAGCAACAAGAUGAUUUUAUGAGAGACUCUUCACCUACUCUUGUUAAAUAUACUGCUUCUUCCUUAUUUGAAACUGAAGAAAGAAAAUCUUUGGAUGCACUGUUUGGGUGUUUGGGUGAAUAGGGCCUAGAGAAAGAUGCGGGGAUAGAUUUGUCAUUUUGUGUUAUUAAUUUAUUAGUUAGUGCAAUCCAAGUGGAUGCCUAUUUGGCACCUACUAGUCAAGAACCAAAUGAAUAAGUGGAUCCAUUUCGUCCUACAAGGAUUUUCGGCUAGACAAGGUGCAAAAUUCACUCAGUUGUUAAAAAAUUAAUACUUAAUUCACCAAAUUGUUAACUUUUUUGUUCAUACACCAAAAAAAGAAAAAAAUUUCAAAGUGCAUACACCAAAAUUGUAAUUAUCUCUAAUAACAAAGUACAAACACCAAAAUUGCAAUUACCCCUAAUAACAAAGAGACCGUAUAAGCUGGUUGGAGGCAUUGAUAGGAUCCUUUUGAUACUUUCAUGCCGUUUUACUAGCUUUGGGAUAUUAUGGUAAAGAAACAAAAAGAACAGAAAAAUAGGAAAAGAGACGAGGGUUUAGAGAGAGUGUGAGAAAGUGAGGGAGAAUGUUGUAUGGAAUGGGCAAUAGUAGUGUCACGACCCAUUUCCAUGGACCGGACCGACACUAGGACCUGGGUGGGCUUAAGGCCCCCGAAGCUUGUAGUAAGCCUGUAUUACUUAAGCCUCGCAUUCUAUUCACAAUUGUGGAUUCAUGCCCAGUAUUUUAUUUCACAAAUAUUUCCAAAGUACAAUCCAAAUAAUAAAUAUCUAUACUCUAUUUAUUCAUUUACAACCCUGUUGUAAUACAAUUGCGGAACUCUACUCCAUAAUUCACUAUCCUAUGUAUUUACAUAUUCGAUACAAUGAUUAUUACUCCUAUUGAUCCGUAUCUCGUUCGUUCGAUUGGACUCCAGGAUUCUUCUUUCCAUCUAUUACCUGGGGAGGUUGGAGGGGGGUGAGUACUAGACUCAAUGAGUAGGGUUUGAUAACCCUCUCAUCCCACACAAUUACACAGAUGCUAAAAAUAUUUUUAUCUAGUCACCGAUUAAUUUUAUGAUCAUGCAGUUUGUCACACAAAUGGCAAUACAACAGCAAUCACAAGUAUUAUCACCUUCAUAUAAUCACAUCACGUGGAAAUUAGUCAGNNNNNNNNNNNNNNNNNNNNNNNNNNNNNNNNNNNNNNNNNNNNNNNNNNNNNNNNNNNNNNNNNNNNNNNNNNNNNNNNNNNNNNNNNNNNNNNNNNNNNNNNNNNNNNNNNNNNNNNNNNNNNNNNNNNNNNNNNNNNNNNNNNNNNNNNNNNNNNNNNNNNNNNNNNNNNNNNNNNNNNNNNNNNNNNNNNNNNNUCCGGUCGUCUCCAUCCAAUCUAGAUCUUUAGGCGCUCAAACAGGAGGCCACCCUGUGAGCUACGAUCAGAUCUAAACUAUCAGGUGCGCCCAAAUAAAGAAGCCAACCUGUGGUUUCAGAAUAGACAGAAUUAUCAGGUGCACACGGGGGCGCCGAUCUCCCAUUUACCCCGCUAACAGAAAUCAGAAUCAUGAUCCAUAUAGCAGUAACAGAAUAUAACAGAAAUCAGAAUCAGGAUCCGUAUAACAGAAACAGUCUCACAAACCCAUGGUGACUCGCUUCAUCCCAAUUUCACACAAACAAGGCACAGCAAUAUCACAUCACAGGUAAUCACGCAAUAUUUAAUAUCAACAAAUAGUGCAUAACAAUAUGGCCAUAAUGCAUGAUAACAUUUAGCCGUGAAUGCAUGAAUGCAGGCGGAUGAUGCGAAUUAUCUAACACUACUCACAGUUCUUUAUUAUCCUCUAAGGAGACUGCCUUUCUAGCCACAUGCUUCUAGCCACAUGCUUCCAGCCUUUGUCCUCGCAUUUCGGAAUUUUAUAAACUUCUAAAAUAAAAAAUAAAAAUUUUAAGUAAGAAUUUUAAAUUUGAAGAUUCUAUUUCAUAUUCAUUUACUAUUUUUGGUUACCAGUCAUUUAAUUCACUUAUUAAUUUAAACGAUAUAUAUAGAUAUAUAUUGGGUUUCCUUAUUUAUUUAUCUAUUCUAAUUUAUCGCCUUUAAAUAAAACGUUUAGUUAUCCGUUAAGUAAUAUUUUAUAAUAACGCUAAGAAGAAUACGAAUAUUUUACCAAAAUUUCAACAGCACUUCCCUGAAAAUUUAACUAUCCACCAAUUAACUCAUUCGAUUAUAUUUUCAGGUUCUCACACAGCCCAUCCAUCACCGAUCAAUUCGGGCAAUUAUUCCCAUCCUCCAUAUUCUCCAUGUCAACAUUAAUUUAAAAUUUUUUCUUUAAUUCUAUAAAUCAUAAUCUCUUAAUAAUUUAUUUAAUACUGAAAUUAAUUCUCAUUAAUCAAUAAUUCAAUACCUAAUUUUAAUUUAAAUUAGUUAACCCAAAAUUACUAAAAUAAAUUCUGAGAAUUAGCAAAAAUUGAUUUAUACCCCCCAAAUAUAAUUUUUCUUGUCGGAUUUUGCUAGAUCGGGAUUUAUGAGUGCCGGAUCGCGCACUGAGACUGCAAGCAGGUGGCUGGAGUUAUGCUGGAGCGGCUGGAUCACCUGAGAUCGACGCAGGAGGAGCUGAGCUACAGCAGUGACGCAAGUGGUGGAACUGGCGGCUGUGCGACAAGGCUGAGCUCGGUGGUGCUGGUUUCCUUUGAUCGCAAACUGGAGAGGGAUGGCGCGACGCAAUCUGCCAGAGGAUCACAGGCGGAGCCACUGAGUUUCCUGAGGAUGAACGCAAGGGAGAGAGAUCGAGCGGCAGUGGUGACGGCGCCGCGAUGAAGAUCCGUCCUGGCCUGGUGGAGUCGCGGUUCGUUGUGGCUGUCUCUCGCCAGUAGCAGAAACGCAGAAGAGAAAGGAGAAGGAAAGAAAGAAAAGAAGAGAAAGAAGAAAGAAGAAGAGGAGGAGAAGAUGAGGUCGACGCUGGAGAGGAAAGGAAGAAGAAGAAGAAAAGAAAAGAAAUAAAGUAUGUCGGUUUCUAGAUGAUUCCGGUUCGAUCCGAACCGAAAUGGUCUGAUUCAACGACUUGGCUCGAUUUUUACGCGAUUUUCAGGUUAUUCAUCUGGUUUUCGAAAAAUCAAUUUGUUUUUCGGGUCCGGUUCGACUUAUUUUGAUUAUUUAGUUCGAUUUCGCAAUAUUUUCUCCAUUUACUCAAUUAUAAUACAAUAUUAAUAGUAAUGAUAUUUGAUUUUAAGACAAUUAAUUUAUAUUGCAGUUACAUACAUAUACAUACAUUUAUAAUCGAUUAGUAACUAGAGUCCCAUUUUAUUUCAUCGAAACUUUUAAGUGUUCUCUAAUCGAAAUUCUCGAACAAUCUGUUUUUGGGCUUGGACCCAAUUCAAAAAUUUGGGCUCGAAUUGAAACUGUAUUACAUUUACAGCCCACACGGUCAAAAUUUCUGAUUUUUGAUUUGAAUUAAAUUUGAAAGUUUCGAAAAUAAAAAUUCGGGAUAUUACAAGUAGGUAAAGGGCAAUUUAGGAAUCCAAUAGCAUUUCCACGUGGGUUCUACAUGGAAAGAUGAAUUGGAGUUCCUUUAGAGAAUUUCCUAUGCAACAAUGGAUUGCUUUAAUUUAUUUACCAUGCCUGAAAAAUUGAAAGUUAAAAAUAAAAACUUUCUUCAAUGCUAUUGUUUGUUUUAGUCUGUAAGUCUGAUGUGUCAAAGAAAAAAAAAGAGACAUUUUCCAUCACGCUUUCUAUUUUCAGAGGGUCUGUUAAAAAACAUGACUCUGCUUUUUGUUCUUUUUUUUCCUAUUUAUUUAUUUAUUCUUAUUUAUUUAUUUUCCUUUAUUCACGCUCAAACUUUUUCUUACACUGAAACUGAUUUCUUUUUCGUGUAUUGGAGAGCCAUUUUUUUUUAAAUCUAAGAGCAUCUCCAAUACAACUAUUGAUUGUGUUAAUUUAUCUGCCACGUCUGAAAAGUUGAUAGUUAAAUAUAAAAACCUUAUCCAACGCUAUUGUCUAUUUAAUCUGUGAGUCUGAUGUGUCAAAAAGAAAAAGAGAUAUUGUCUAUCACGCUCUUUAUUUUUAGAGGGUCUGUUGGACAAUGUGACUUAGUUUUUUGUUCUUUUUUCUAUUUAUUCAUUUUUUCUUAUUUUUUUAUUUUCCUUUAUGCCUUCUCCUUUAUUUAGCCUCAAAACUUCUUUUUGCAUUGAAACUGAUUUCUUCUUCGUGCAUUAAAGAAUUAUUUUUAAAGUCUAACAUCUGCAAAUAUAUAUUCAGCUAUAUUACCAUCCACAACUUCUAUUUAUUAAGACAUAUCAGUCACAAUCCAUAGUUACAUUGGAGAUGCUCUUAUGUCGUGUCAUAUGCCAAAUGUGAAAAAACGGAACCUACAAUUACACAAUCAUAUUCCAAUGAACCAAAUCAAAUUGAAAUAUUAAAAUAAAAAUUUUAAAAAGUUAGUGCACUGAAUUAUUAGCUUUUUUUCAUUCAAACACCAAAAUAGAAAAAAAUGAAAAACUCAGGCACUAAUAUCCAUAUAUAAAACUAACCUGUAUUUGGAAUAAAUAAAUUCCAUAAAAUUUUGUUGAAUUCAUUUUAUCAAUUUAAAAUUGUGUUUGGUAUAAAAAAAAUGAAGAAUUCAAUUUUAUGGAUUUGAAAUAAAUAAACAGAAUUCUAUAAAAAAAAUAUAUGGAAGUUUCAAAUGAAUUCUACAAAUUUAAAUAACACAAACUUUAUGACAAAAAAACUCUCCAUCCUCAUAGCCUUCUUAAAUUAUUUUGCCAAGGGUAUUUUAGGAAUAAAGGUAAAUAAAUUUGCGGUUUCUGAAUUUGUUCCAAACAUGAAAAAUUCAUUUAUAUCUAAAAUUUAUUUAUAAAUAAAUGCUACAUUUUGAGUUAAUUUAUACCAAAUGGUGUGUAAGAAUUUUAUUUAUAAAUAAAUGCAACAUUUUGAGUUAAUUUAUAACAAAUGGAGAGUAAGAAUUUAGUAGCAAGAAAAAAAAAAUUAAUUGGAAAAUUUAAAUUAGUGAAAGUUACUAUUUUGACCUGAAUUUUGGCCAAAUUAACAAUUUCGUCCAUAUAUUUUGAUAAAACUAUUAUGAAAUCGAUAAGGUUUGAUUUCGUCGGAUUAUAGUUUUUCCGUCGAAAAAGUGGCAAUUUUCCAUUAAUUUUUACGUUAAAAUAAAAAGACUAAAAUACUUAUAUUAUGAGACCCACAAAAUAUUAAAAAAAAAAAACUAUACACAAAUAAGAAAAGUCAACCUUUUAUAUCUCUCUCCACAUCCAUUCUCACCCAUGGCUCUCUCUCUCUCUCUCUCUCUUCAUAAAUUCAGUUAACAAAUAUACCAUGUACUUUAUGCAAAAAAAACUUAAUGGUAUCUUAACUUCGCGAGCGAUCUAUUAUGUUUCUAAAAUUAUGAAUUUUGCUAAUGUUGUAUGCCUUUUUAUAUUAAUAAUAACAUUUAUUUUUGGUAUUUUUGAUAUUUACGUGCAAGAUAUCCAUUUAAUGUGUGGUUAAUAUAAUGUUUGGAAUAAUAAUUUUUAUAUUUUUUAACUAUCUAAUGAGUAUUUAAUUAAUUUAAUUUUAAAAGUUUGAAUAUUCCAUAAAAUAAUUUUUGCAAGUUAAAGUACUUAAUUAGUACAAUUUUAUAGAAUGAAGUGUUCAAUAACUCACUGUAGACAUGGGGAGUGUCACAAACUUUAUUACGAGAAGGAUAAUUUAUGCAUUAAGUCAAUUUUUUCGGGUAGAAUUUGAGCUUGUUAGAAUAAAAUUAUGGGUAUGCAAAUACUUUUGCGGGAAGAUUGUAACCAGAUUCUCAGUCUUAUUAUCAAUACUUUUUAUAGUAACAAAGAGAUCUUCCUUCGUAAGCUCAUCAACAACUCUUUAAGUAAAUAAUUAACCAAUAAAAGUUCCUCCUUUCUUCUUCUAACUUGUUAUUUAAACAAAAAAAAAAAAAAAAAAAGAAAAUAAAAAGAUCUUUUAAUGUUUUUUACAUUCCUUAAUAGAUUUUUGAUUUUACAAUUGAUUGUUUCAUAUUCCAAACUGAAUUUGUAAACAUUAUUUUGUUUUAUCAGAGCAAAAGAGAUGUUGAAAUUUUAAUGCCCAGUUUGGUGCUGGGUUUUACUCACAUCGUCUUGUUGCAGAGAAGGCGGUUUCACUACAAAGCACAAUGAUGAUGAGCAGUAUGUUUGGGAGUCUUUAUUUUAGGAUAUAUGGUCGGCUUAAUGUCAAAAUUUCAGAAAAUACUGAACAGUGUUAAUUGAAUCUGGUUUCACACUCCUUGGCACUGAACAACAAAUAAAAAUUUUGAAUAGAAAAAAUGUAAUGAAAUCGAAGUUAGGAUACCAAUAGAGCGAGUUAAACGAAAACAACACAAUAUGUUAUACACAGCAGAAACAACACAUAUAAUUAUUACUCCAUAAUAAAAGUACUAAAAGCAAGAAUAAAAUGCACUAUAUAUACAUAUAAAUAACCGAAGCG